AGCUCCAAUAGCGUAUAUUAAAGUUGCUGCAGUUAAAAAGCUCGUAGUUGGAUCUCGGGUGCAGGCUUGCGGUCCGCCUCGCGGCGGUCACUGCUCGUCCUGACCUCCACGCCGGUUGUCCGCGCCUUGGUGCUCUUGAUUGAGUGUCUCGGCCGGCCGGAACGUUUACUUUGAAGAAAUUAGAGUGCUCAAAGCAGGCCAUUGCCGCCUGAAUAAUGGUGCAUGGAAUAAUGGAAUAGGUCCUCGGUUCUAUUUUGCUGGUUUUCGGAGCUCGAGGUAAUGAUUAAUAGGGACAGACGGGGGCAUUCGUAUUGCGGCGCUAGAGGUGAAAUUCUUAGACCGUCGCAAGACGAACUACAGCGAUAGCAUUUGCCAAGAAUGCUU
rnacentral:rRNA from 1 species